AGAACAGAACGGACGUUGAUGAU
rnacentral:siRNA from 1 species